rnacentral:lncRNA from 1 species
GUAUGAGGAUUGAGAGUGUGAUCUUCUCUUAUAAUUUUCUUUUUUCUCAUAGUGAAAUUUGCAUGCCCCAUGGAAGUGAGCUUUUUAGCUGAUCCACGUAUUUGAUUGUUUCUAUUUUAUUUCUUCUUUUUUCCUGUUACAAUGCAUGAUAUCAAAAAGGUCCUAUGAAGGUCGUAUCCUGGCUAGACAUUUUCAACAAGUAGUAUUAGAGCG